CCCAGGGCCUUCACACUGAGUCAUGUCCCCAGCCAUUUUUGAUUUCUUAUUGUGAGAGGGGAUCUUGACAAGUCACUAAGUUGCCAGGCUGGGCUCGAACUUGAGAUCCUCCUGCUCAGCUUCCCAGAGCGCUGGGAUUCCAGGCCUGUGCCGCCGCACCCAGCUACUUCUGCCUUUUUCUUGUAGACCGUAUUUUCACAGCCACAGUCUGAGUGACCAACGUAUUUGUUCGUUUCCUUCUUCUUCAGCUAAAACUAACCCCAAGGGAAGGACUGCGUUCUUUCGUGGAGAGAGUUUAAGAAACGGCGGCUGUCAUACGACACUCCUCGCAUAAUGGUUCCAAAAAGAGGAAAUUGCUUUCAUGUUUUGGGAUAGAGCUUAAUGGCCAGGAACGUCAGUGGAAAACCCAAGGCAGCGUUCUUUACUGAAGCCUGAAGGAAGUAAACGGCUUCCAGCCCCAUUCCUGCGGUAGGAGCAAAGUCAGAACGAGCACAACUGACAAAGCAAUGAGCAUCAGAAGGGGUGCGUCACCGCGUCCCACCGGCCCAAUUCAUGGAUCUAAGGCAGCGAGUAACCGCUUUGCCAUCACCACUCCCAGCUGCAUGCGGGGAAAGCACUGACUCCUUCGCCGGGCCCCCCACAGCCCCCGCAUCGGCUCUGGGAAGGCUCUCGGCAUGCUGCCGGCGGGGUCUGCGUCAGGCCAUCGAUCCGUGACCUAUCGUCCACAGCAGGAGGAGAGAACAGCAACCACCGGUCGGAACUGCAAUUACAGCUCAGAAAACGUGUGUGGAGGCCGAGCCGUUCCCCUCCUCGUUGUCUGUCUUUUAUUGCGCACCUUAUUCAUCUUUUCUCACACAAGAGAAACCCAGUGUGCGCAGGCCGAGCCGUUCCAAAGUAGGGAUCAGCGACACUCAGUGAGUGGUGACGGUGGCUCCCCCUUUCCGUCCCCUUCCCACCCACCCGAGGGGCCGCCCACACCAGGCACCAGCAGUCCUGUCUCAAAUACACACGCCCAGAAAUUGUUCCCCGAAUGCGGUGGUCCCGGAGUCCUCCCACCCGGCCCUAGGAGGGUCCUGUCACUCCUGUCAGUCACUGUUGGCUUCAAGGCCAGCGCUGAGCGGGGCCAGGUCACUGCUGCCUUCGCUGGAACUAAGGGGCCCUGGGCGGGAAGCUCUCCUCCCUCCGCCAGCCUACCCUCACCCGUGCUUCCUCCUUCUGGUCCCAGACCCAAGCAGAGUUCUUUCUAGAGCAGAAGGGAAAUCCUUGGUUUACAAACAAAUCCAAAGUCUGGACUCUGCAGAUGAGGCGCCCCAAGGCCUGGCCACUAACGUGGCCCCUGUCCCCGAGGGGGCCCAACCCGAGCUGGUCCUAGCAGGGCUAAGAGACUUCGGGACUGGCCUCUCCCCGGGAGACCUAGUGGUGAGGCCCCAGGGAUCCUUGGCUGGGUCCUUGGUGGUCACUUGAGGAUAGGGGCUCGGACCACCUGCCUGCUACUAAAACGCCAGGUGGCCGCUCGGCGGCCGCUGUCUUUCCUGGAGCUUCCUGUUUGCUCGCUGCGGAGACGCCUGAUGAGCCUGUGCCGCCGAAUGGCAGCGGCGCUUCCCCAGGGACACGCGCGUCCCCACGCAGCCACGGUGUGCGGGGGCGGGGGCCCGUGGGAGAUGGGCCGUUUCUCGCCUUAUUUUCUUUGUUUCUAUUUGUUUUUAAAAACGUAGCCCAUGCCCUCAUUUAAACAGUACAGAAGAUCACGGCGGUGUAAAAGAAAGAUGAUCUGAGACCUCAGCUUUCUGAUUGUCUGACUCCAAGCAGGAAGGGCGGCUUUUGGAUGAGGUGUUUGUUUCUGCAUGUGGGUGCGUCCCAGCUGGCCUCCCCGGGAGUGUUCAAAUAGUUGUUGGACAGAACUGAGCCAAUCGGUGAAAAGCCGCCGCUCCCUUUGCUCUCUUCCUCGCUGCCUUUUGUCUCCCUCCUCCCUUCUCCGCCAGAGGUGCUUGGGCAGCGAGACAGGUGCGCUUGGCGUCGAACCCGCGGCGCCCGCCUCUGCCCCCGAGAGGCCUGAGCGGAGCUCAGUGCGGAACCGAAGGUCAGUUUUCCUUUCCCGUUCAGCAAGAGGCAAACAAGAAUGUCCCUCGGAGCCCGCAGCCAGCGAGGCUUCCACGGAGCACACUGAGGUCUUUCUGUGUCUGUCCUCCCUAUACUUUGGAAGCUCCAGCGGGAAUGCGGCCUGAAUUUAAACACUCAGGGCCGCCACCGUGAACAGUGAGCACUUUUGUAGAUUCAUGCGGCCUCUCCUGCCGUCCUCUCCCAUGGCCCUGAAUGCUCUGUUGUGUGUGGACAAUCCGCUUGUUGUACUCGGAGGGCAGGCUGAUCCCCGCUCUCCCAUUGUCUCUUAUAAGAGCAGACAAAAGCGGUCUUCUUCGUCGUGAGCACUGCGCUGAUAAAAGACUGAUUAAAGCCUCUUUUGUGGUGAAAUGUAA